GUCUAUGGCCAUGCUACCCUGAACAAGCCCGAUCCUGUCUGAUCUCGGAAACUAAGCAGGGUCAGGUCUGGUUAGUACCUGGAUGGGAGACCACCUAGGAAGACCAGGUGCUGUAGGCA
rnacentral:rRNA from 1 species